UGCUGAAUGCGAUGGGACUUGAUUUCCCUUAAGCGAGUUUUGGGUUCCGAGGGGACGCCCGCUCCUGGGCAUCCCCUUGGGUUGGGCUUGCAUGGCGGACACAGGAAAGCGGGGGGAGCCCGUGAGGCACACGUUAAAAUUGAAAAGGAAGACCACGUCCAGUUCAUAUCUGUGAGUCACAAAGAAGUAGAUAAGAACGUACCCUUUGCGCCUGUUAGAAGAUCUACAAAAGGCAGAAAACCUCGUUACGAUGGUUCUCUGGUUCAGUUGACUAGGAGAUUCAUGGAUCUUGUCAAAGUUGCUCCGGAAGGUGUUCUCGAUUUAAAUGAAGUGUCACGGGUGCUGGGGGUGCGGAAACGAAGAGUAUACGAUAUCACAAACGUGCUGGAUGGAAUACAUCUUAUCCAGAAAAGAUCCAAGAACCUGAUCCAGUGGGUUGGAUCGGAUAUCAAACAGAUUACUAAAAGGACACCUGAGCAUCAGAAGUUAAGAGAUGAACUCCUUGAUUUAACAGCAAUGGAGGAAGCACUAGAUGAAUUAAUAAAGGAUUGUGCUCAUCAAUUGUUUGACUUAACAGAUGACAAAGAAAAUGCAAGGCUAGCUUAUGUCACCUAUCAAGAUAUCCGUAGUAUUCAGACGUUUCAAGAACAGAUUAUUAUUGCAAUCAAGGCUCCAGAAGAAACAAAAAUGGAGGUACCAGCUCCAAAAGAAGAUUGCAUAGAAGUACGCCUGAGAAGCACAAAAGGACCCAUUGAUGUCUAUUUAUGUGAGGUACCGCUAUGUAACCCAGAUGCUGAUGCUUUGAGAAACACAGGCAGCCUUUCAUUCGAAACUAAAUAGGCAGCUGCUGUGAAUGGAGCUGAUCCCAGAGAGGAUGUAGAAACCUUGAACCAGUGCCUGGAGGCAGUUUUGGAGCAGAUGUGGGCUAAUAAACUGAAGCUUAAUCCUGACAAAAUGGAAGUGCUAAUGAGCAAGCAGAAUAAGAAGAAAUCAAAUACUUGUAGCAAUUUGAGCCUCAGCUUCAUGAACUUCUCAGGAUUUUCUUAACUAUUAUGGAACUACACAGAGACAACAAAGAGUUUUUCUUACCUGCAGUGGGGAGACCAGAAUAUCAUUGGGAUUGUGGAGUAAAUGCCAUAUCUUGAAGCUUUACACUAACAUAGAGGUUGAGACUAACCUGCAUUCGCCCUCCCUCCGCUGGUGUCAUUGCCCUCUAAUUUGCAGCUGUGUGACAAAAGUAAUUUGAGUACUACUGUGCAAGCCAGACUUUGGAAAGAUGGCUUGAGUUCUUUCUGUAUAGUGCAUUUAUCAAAGUGUGUGUGUGUGCGCAUGCCCUGGACGUGCACAUCUGAACAAAUUAGUAUCCUCUUGCACAGCUUAAUGAAGAGAGAUUCAGUGAAUAUGAAUUUGUCAAUUUAAAAAAUAACCCUUCAGAACUGAAUCUGUAGAUGUGGAUGGUAAGGGACAAUUUUUGAAGAAAUGUACUUUUUCAUUCUGAAACUGUCCUGUUGCCAAAUGGAAUGAUCAGAGUUAUACUGAGAUGUAAAAGAACCUGGCAAAGGAAAUAUUUCACAGAGGAAGAACAGAAUAAAACACUUACGCCUAUGAAAACUAUGCACUCUGUUCUGUGGAAGCUGUUUAUGUGAUGUGCUUUGAGCUCAGUAUUGAACUGUGGAUCCUCAAGAAAUAUGUAUUGCUUGGACCAUGUGUAUAUAUGUGUAUUAUGUUUAAAUACUUGCUAAUGGGAAUUUUGGUGGGUUGAGUGGCACUUGUGUUUCUGUACAGCAAAGUGGAAGUAAAUCUGUAAAUAUGAAAAAUGCUCAGCCUGCUGUCUUAGUACAUCAAGUUCCACUAUCGGUAGUAAGAAACUAAUGUUUAAACUUACGCUGUGUAAUCAUGAAAGGCUAUGGAUGGUUUUAAAAGAAGUGGGUGUUUUGAUGUACCUGUUCUCUGGACAAGAAACUUCUGUUAGGACAGAAUAUGGGGAAACAAUACUUGCCAGUUGGCAAAGGGGUCAAACAAGAAUGUAUACUUUCUCCCCCUCAGUUCAAUCUGUAUGUAGAACAUACCAUAAGGAAAGCUGGAUUAGAAGAAGGUCAAGGGAAAAUUGGUGGAAGGAACAUUAGUAAUUUAAGAUAUGCAGAUGAUACCCUGUUACUGGCCGAACAUAAUAAAUACUUGUUUUAUUGAA